CCCCCCCCCCCCCCCCCCCCCCCCCCCGGGAAAUUCCCCUUCAGAUAGUGGGAGCGGCAUCGCUCCCAUAGUCUUCAGCAUCAGAUUCGUCACAGAUCCGUUUUCUUUUUCAUGAAGUUGGCUGGGGCUUUGGCCACAUGACAACUUUCAUUUGUAAUAUAGAAGAUAUAAAUCAGUGAAGUUGAUGUCAUACCACUCAUGUUUCGGCACUGUACGAACAAACUUUGAGAUCUAUAUUGCCAUCCCAACAGAUGAAGACAUGGAUUACAUAUUAAAAGUGCAUCAAUGUUCUGUCGUUCAACACAAUGUGUGGGUAUAUCAUUGACAACCAAUGGUUUUUUAUGCCUGAAAAAUACUUCAUCGCUGCAAUAUGAUGCAGGGCUCCUGAUUCCAUGGCGUGCCUUGGUCUUUUGGCGGGCAUAUUUAAAGUUGAGGGAUCUUUUAUUCCAUUUCAAUGUGCUCUAGAAAUCUUCUGCCGGCUCAAGUGCUCAUGUCAAAGAAUAUAGUUGUAUUUUCCUUGGAUUAUUCAUUUGCCUUGCAAUGUUGAUGGAGAAAAGGCAACCAAAUUAUUCAAGGGAUAGAGAUUGUUAACGAAUAGAUCAACUAACUAUUUGCCAUGGAAAUUGCUAUUUGGAGACUUGGUGCAUUUGGAAAGUAUGUAACGACCAAGUCUUUGAUAAUGUACUUCCAAACUUUGGUUGGUGCAAGAUUCCCGUUGUUAGCAGUAGCACCUACACAUAGAACUGUACUGGAGAGUGAAAAGUAAAUUGCUCUUUCACUUUAACUCAUAACAUUAUUUCAUGUGACUGAAAGAGUAAUCUGACCAUUAAAAUUAUAAUUUUA